rnacentral:tRNA from 1 species
GGGGACGUAGCUCAGUUGGUAGAGCGCUUGCAUGGCAUGCAAGAGGUCGAGAGUUCAAAUCUCUUCGUCUCCA